AUUUUCGUUGUAGUUAAGUCGUGGCUGCUAAUUAUCUCUCUCAGUCUCUGCCUCCUCUUCUCCGCUUCUCUCUCUAAUUUCUUCGACAUUUCAAGUCCAGAGCUACAGCUGCGGAGCUCCACUUGCCACACAAGUCUUCCCAAAUCUUCCCAAAUCUCCUUUUAAAUCCCAAAGCCCGGGCUUCUCUUCCCGCUCAAUGCUGUAUUCUCCUCUGUUUCGCCACCACCAACUUCCCCGAACCACUCCACUUUUAUAUCAACCCCAAUCCCCACUUCCGAUAAUCCAAUCCAAAACCUCCUCUUCCUACCACUUCCCACCCCGCCCUUUUCUUCCUGCGUUUAUCACAAAAAAUCCACAUGGGCGUCCAAAUUCGUCCCUGGAUUCUUCGAGUUUGAACUCUUCAGCUCGCCCUUUGACAGACGGAGAUGAUUUCGAUGUUGAAUUGGGCCGCCUUUUGGCAUUAUUGCCGGAACAAAUGCGGCGGAGGGUUAGCGAGCACCCGGAGCUUCAUCAGUUGAUUGAAGUGGUUAUGGAUUUAGGUCGGAAGCCUCUGGCUCGGUUUCCUUCUGGAGACUUUGUUUUAUCGGAUUCCCCGAUCUCGGCUGAAGAUCUUGAACAUGCUACGUCUCAGGUUGGUGACUUUGUGGUUGACAAUCGAGCAGGCAUUAGCAGGACAUUACACCGCAUAAGUGCCAUAAGGAAUAGAAAAGGUGCAAUUAUUGGUUUAACUUGUCGAGUUGGUCGGGCAAUAUCUGGUAGUGCUAAUUUGCUGCGAGAUUUGGUGCAAGAUGGGGCUUCCUUGUUGCUCAUAGGACCUCCAGGUGUGGGAAAAACUACAAUUAUUCGGGAAAUAGCCAGAAUGCUUGCAAAUGAUUACAAGAAACGUGUUAUGAUUGUUGACACCUCCAAUGAGAUAGGUGGGGAUGGUGAUAUACCCCAUGCAGGAAUAGGGAAUGCACGUCGGAUGCAAGUCCCCAACUCUGAAGUGCAGCAUAAGGUACUGAUAGAAGCAGUUGAAAAUCAUAUGCCACAAGUGAUUGUGAUCGAUGAAAUUGGAACAAAACUUGAAGCUAUGGCUGCAAGCACUAUAGCGCAACGUGGAAUUCAGCUAGUUGCCACUGCUCAUGGUGUAACAAUUGAGAACUUGAUAAUGAAUCCAGCAUUAGAGAUGCUUGUUGGAGGAAUACAGAGUGUGACAUUAGGGGAUGAAGAGGCCAGUCGAAGAGGUGUCCAGAAAACAGUUUUGGAAAGGAAAGGACCUUCAACAUUUAGUUGUGGGGUGGAGAUAAUUUCAAAGACCGAGUUGCGAGUUUAUCGUAGCCUAGAGUCAACAGUGGAUGCCAUUCUCUCCGGUCGUUUUCCAAAUGUUGAAGUUCGCAAGAUGAGUUCUCAGGAAAUGAAAGAAACUAUAGAAAGGGAACUUCUUAUUAGCACUUCCUCUGAUGAGGAAAAUGAGAUUGUGGUUGAAGUGACUCCAGGGAUAACCAAUGAAAGAAUUGGCCGUGAUACUUUCACUUCUGAGGUCCCUGCAAAGAUAGGAGAGGAGUGUUGGGAAGAAAGGGUUCCCCUUCACCUAUUUGUUUAUGGGAUCCUCGAGGCAAGCGUGAUUCAAGUGAUAAAACAGUUGAAAAUAAAUGAUGCUGCCAUUCUGUUAACUGAUAAUAUCAGUGAGGCAGAUGCAAUACUUGCCAUGCAAUCGAAGCUCAAGAAGAAUUCCAGGAUUCAAGCUGCUGCUAAAUCUCAUUGCAUACCCAUUCAUGUGACUAAGACAAGCUCGUUGGAUCAAAUUACAAAGGCAAUAAGGGCAUUAAUGAGUGAUAUUAAAGAUGGUCUGAAGGAUUCUGAACCAGCAGACGAGAUGAAAUCAUCUGAGAAGCUUGAUGCCUUAGAGGAGGCAAGGAUAGCCAUUGAGCAGGUAGUCAUUCCUAAAGGGGAACCUGUGGAGCUACUCCCAAGGCCAUCCAAUAUUAUGUCUCUGCAGAUGGAACUUAUUCGAAAGUACCAACUGGAAGCAGAGAGAAUUGGAACAGAAUCAGAUAGACGCCUCCGCAUCCUUCCCUUCCAUACGGGAAAAACCAGUGAUACAGAUGGUACUCGUGGAGGAUUUGAUGACUUUGUCAGUGCUGAUGGCAACAUGAAUGGUUCAUUCUACAGCGUGGACAGAUUACCUUUAUUGCCUGAUUAAAAUGUUGUGUAUAUAUACUGGGCAUUGCUCCGUAUCAACAUUGUAAUUUGUAUAGCAGCCUUACGAGCUUCCAUUGCCAGGCACUGUCUGCCAUCCCAAUAUGUCAAAAAUGCUUCUCAGCUCUUCUAUACACUAUAUAUAGAUAAUCCUUUCAUGAUAGUGGAAGAGAGUAACUUUAUUCCAAUCGUAGUAUCCUUUUAUAUCAAUAAUGGGAAUAGAGGUCCCAUUACGUACCCAUAUAUAUCCUAUCAUGGUAGCUCUGAGUGACUGCACCGAGUUGGUGGUUUGUCAAGCAAACAUUGAUCUUUCGACAAUGGCUGUCCUGAAAUUCUGGUUUUGCCUCGUCCUAGUCGGCUUUU